AUUACCGACCAUUUUAGACGCAGCGCCGCCUGGUUGUCCCUGGCCGGAGGCGCUUCGGCUUCCCGGUCUGAAUCGUUCACAGCUGCUGGGAAAAAGGAGGAGAGGCGAAGAUAAAAAGUUUCCCUGGAAUUCUUCCUGUUCUUCUGUCUAGCAAGCUGGAACUUCCUCAGCAGUCUGUUUUUAACAACAGUUCAUCAGCCUUCGAAAAAGUGACUUACAACCUUAUGGAAAGCCCUUGCCCUUCUCAUCUGCAUGCUGCACUCUCCCCAUUUUCACUUUUGAAACUACUUCAACAAGUUGGCCAGGUUUUGACAAACUGAAUCAAGGUUACGGCAUUCUAUGGUGCUCCUUUCAGAUUCUCCUAAUACAGUGUGUAAGUCCUUAGACCUUUUGAUUCAGUUUACUUUCCCAAGCCAGCCUCUCACCCAGAUUUCUAAUUCAGUACUGUAUUUCAUUUACAGGGGAUUAUUUAGAGUCCUAGAUACAACAGAAAAGACUCGGAAUUCCACAGCAAUGGACAUCUUUGCUGUCCUUGAAACCAUCUUCUCGGGCACGUGAUAGCAAAAAGGUUAGCUAUCACUGCUUUAGCCAAUUAAUGGCCAAGGCAAACUAAGGCUGAAAGCUCAUCUCCGCAUAAUCAAAGAAUGGAAUGAGAACCAGAUGCCCACAGAAAUCAUAAAUUUGGGGCAAGAAACUGCACUCAAAACCCCGGGCCCAAGCGAGUGUGCUGGAGAUAGAGGAUUAUUUCAGAACCAUUCAGUUAUUUUAACUGAAUAAAUGAAGGGAUAUUAAAUCAUUAAUUAUGUAACCUCUGGACUAACACAGACCUUGAAAACACAUAGACACGCAUCUUGCCCUGCUCUCAAUGUCAAGCAAGCAUAAUCUCCACUGCAGCUAGAAUUAUCUGAAGGUUGACACAAGAACCACAGGGAUCAAUAUAGAAUGGCAAGCAGUUGCUCAACUCUCCAGAAAUAUUAAGGGGCAACAAUGUUAGCACAACAAAAACUGACCUCUGGUCUAAUUUAAGACUUCCAAUGGACCGUUAGAUUAUCCAAAAACUGUAAUUCUGGAACUACAGUUCCAUAAUAUUUAACAUGGAUUCAACCAACCCAACACAAUAGUGGAAUUUUUACUUCUGUCUAACCCUUGAGCUGGCUCAAUCAGGAAACAAGAACUACUUAGCUCUCUUGAAACAACUUCAUUGCUAAUAAAGUGGCAGGAUCUUAAAAGCCUACUAAAGUAUUUCUCCAAAUCAACUUACACUUAGCGUAAUUAAGACAAAAUUACUUGGAGAAGGAAACAACACCAGACUUCAUGUCCUCAGCCCCUCUGGAUCUUCCACCCCAAAUUCCUGUGUUUAGACUACUGAAGCAGCCUAAACCUAUCUUGGCUUAUUUUGCAGCCACAUCUUAUUCACAAAAACAAUUGUCACAGAAUUUGUUUUUCCCUCCCAGACAUAUUUUCCUGUUCCCAAUUUUUGGAGCACAUUACUGAAUGAAAUAAGAAUACGUUCCUUUUUAAUUUAAUUUAAAAGAGCCCAAAAGAAUCCAUAAAAAGAAGGCCCA